rnacentral:rRNA from 2 species
GGUUAAGCGACUAAGCGUACACGGUGGAUGCCCUGGCAGUCAGAGGCGAUGAAGGGCGUGCUAAUCUGCGAUAAGCGCCGGUAAGGUGAUAUGAACCGUUAUAACCGGCGAUACCCGAAUGGGGAAACCCAGUGUGACUCGUCACACUAUCAUUAACUGAAUCCAUAGGUUAAUGAGGCGAACCGGGGGAACUGAAACAUCUAAGUACCCCGAGGAAAAGAAAUCAACCGAGAUUCCCCCAGUAGCGGCGAGCGAACGGGGAGGAGCCCAGAGCCUGAAUCAGCAUGUGUGUUAGUGGAAGCGUCUGGAAAGGCGCGCGAUACAGGGUGACAGCCCCGUACACAAAAGCGCAUGUGCUGUGAGCUCGAUGAGUAGGGCGGGACACGUGGUAUCCUGUCUGAAUAUGGGGGGACCAUCCUCCAAGGCUAAAUACUCCUGACUGACCGAUAGUGAACCAGUACCGUGAGGGAAAGGCGAAAAGAACCCCGGCGAGGGGAGUGAAAAAGAACCUGAAACCGUGUACGUACAAGCAGUGGGAGCCCCACCACUAAGCCAGUGGUGAACUCCACAUACGCAUCCUUUGCUGAGGAUACGGUUAACGGAGCGAAAGCGACGUUCAACCGCAAAAGAAGCAGAGGGGGCUUAGUGGUGGGGUGACUGCGUACCUUUUGUAUAAUGGGUCAGCGACUUAUAUUCUGUAGCAAGGUUAACCGAAUAGGGGAGCCGUAGGGAAACCGAGUCUUAACCGGGCGUUAAGUUGCAGGGUAUAGACCCGAAACCCGGUGAUCUAGCCAUGGGCAGGUUGAAGGUUGGGUAACACUAACUGGAGGACCGAACCGACUAAUGUUGAAAAAUUAGCGGAUGACCUGUGGCUGGGGGUGAAAGGCCAAUCAAACCGGGAGAUAGCUGGUUCUCCCCGAAAGCUAUUUAGGUAGCGCCUCGUGAAUUCAUCUCCGGGGGUAGAGCACUGUUUCGGCUAGGGGGCCAUCCCGGCUUACCAACCCGAUGCAAACUGCGAAUACCGGAGAAUGUUAUCACGGGAGACACACGGCGGGUGCUAACGUCCGUCGUGAAGAGGGAAACAACCCAGACCGCCAGCUAAGGUCCCAAAGUCAUGGUUAAGUGGGAAACGAUGUGGGAAGGCCCAGACAGCCAGGAUGUUGGCUUAGAAGCAGCCAUCAUUUAAAGAAAGCGUAAUAGCUCACUGGUCGAGUCGGCCUGCGCGGAAGAUGUAACGGGGCUAAACCAUGCACCGAAGCUGCGGCAGCGACACUCAGGUGUUGUUGGGUAGGGGAGCGUUCUGUAAGCCUGUGAAGGUGUGUCGUGAGGCAUGCUGGAGGUAUCAGAAGUGCGAAUGCUGACAUAAGUAACGAUAAAGCGGGUGAAAAGCCCGCUCGCCGGAAGACCAAGGGUUCCUGUCCAACGUUAAUCGGGGCAGGGUGAGUCGACCCCUAAGGCGAGGCCGAAAGGCGUAGUCGAUGGGAAACAGGUUAAUAUUCCUGUACUUGGUGUUACUGCGAAGGGGGGACGGAGAAGGCUAUGUUGGCCGGGCGACGGUUGUCCCGGUUUAAGCGUGUAGGUGUGUGUUCCAGGUAAAUCCGGUUCACUUUAACACUGAGGCGUGACGACGAGGCACUACGGUGCUGAAGCAACAAAUGCCCUGCUUCCAGGAAAAGCCUCUAAGCAUCAGGUAACAUCAAAUCGUACCCCAAACCGACACAGGUGGUCAGGUAGAGAAUACCAAGGCGCUUGAGAGAACUCGGGUGAAGGAACUAGGCAAAAUGGUGCCGUAACUUCGGGAGAAGGCACGCUGACACGUAGGUGAAGUGAUUUACUCAUGGAGCUGAAGUCAGUCGAAGAUACCAGCUGGCUGCAACUGUUUAUUAAAAACACAGCACUGUGCAAACACGAAAGUGGACGUAUACGGUGUGACGCCUGCCCGGUGCCGGAAGGUUAAUUGAUGGGGUCAGCGCAAGCGAAGCUCCUGAUCGAAGCCCCGGUAAACGGCGGCCGUAACUAUAACGGUCCUAAGGUAGCGAAAUUCCUUGUCGGGUAAGUUCCGACCUGCACGAAUGGCGUAAUGAUGGCCAGGCUGUCUCCACCCGAGACUCAGUGAAAUUGAACUCGCUGUGAAGAUGCAGUGUACCCGCGGCAAGACGGAAAGACCCCGUGAACCUUUACUAUAGCUUGACACUGAACAUUGAGCCUUGAUGUGUAGGAUAGGUGGGAGGCUUUGAAGCGUGGACGCCAGUCUGCGUGGAGCCGACCUUGAAAUACCACCCUUUAAUGUUUGAUGUUCUAACGUGGACCCGUAAUCCGGGUUGCGGACAGUGUCUGGUGGGUAGUUUGACUGGGGCGGUCUCCUCCUAAAGAGUAACGGAGGAGCACGAAGGUUGGCUAAUCCUGGUCGGACAUCAGGAGGUUAGUGCAAUGGCAUAAGCCAGCUUGACUGCGAGCGUGACGGCGCGAGCAGGUGCGAAAGCAGGUCAUAGUGAUCCGGUGGUUCUGAAUGGAAGGGCCAUCGCUCAACGGAUAAAAGGUACUCCGGGGAUAACAGGCUGAUACCGCCCAAGAGUUCAUAUCGACGGCGGUGUUUGGCACCUCGAUGUCGGCUCAUCACAUCCUGGGGCUGAAGUAGGUCCCAAGGGUAUGGCUGUUCGCCAUUUAAAGUGGUACGCGAGCUGGGUUUAGAACGUCGUGAGACAGUUCGGUCCCUAUCUGCCGUGGGCGCUGGAGAACUGAGGGGGGCUGCUCCUAGUACGAGAGGACCGGAGUGGACGCAUCACUGGUGUUCGGGUUGUCAUGCCAAUGGCACUGCCCGGUAGCUAAAUGCGGAAGAGAUAAGUGCUGAAAGCAUCUAAGCACGAAACUUGCCCCGAGAUGAGUUCUCCCUGAGACUUUAGGUCUCCUGAAGGAACGUUGAAGACGACGACGUUGAUAGGCCGGGUGUGUAAGCGCAGCGAUGCGUUGAGCUAACCGGUACUAAUGAACCGUGAGGCUUAACCUU